UACGGGGGGAGCAAGCGUUGUUCGGAUUUACUGGGCGUAAAGGGCGCGUAGGCGGUCGUGACAAGUCACUUGUGAAAUCUCCGGGCUUAACUCGGAACGGUCAAGUGAUACUGUCGGACUAGAGUACAGAAGGGGCAACUGGAAUUCUCGGUGUAGCGGUGAAAUGCGUAGAUAUCGAGAGGAACACCUGCGGCGAAGGCGGGUUGCUGGGCUGAUACUGACGCUGAGGCGCGAAAGCUAGGGGAGCGAACGGGG
rnacentral:rRNA from 1 species